AUAAAGAGUUAAGAGACCGUCUUGUUUUGGAAGGAAACAGAUUUCGUGGGUGUGCAAUGUAAUUUGUUUUCAAGUCUUGUUUUGGUUAGUUUGUUUCGUGUUACUGUGUUAGUAUGAAGGGUAUGCUAGUCUGUAAUAGGUGUAUAGUAUCCUUGAAGCAGUCUCAAGAUCUGAGUCGUUGAAAACUGAAUGCUUGUAACACGUGGAGUAAUCUUCGGGAUUGUUUUGGUAUUGGUGGUGAUAGCGAAAGGCAGCAUAGCAUGACUCCAUUUGUGGGGAGUCAAUGCUUAUCUCUAUCGUUUUCGGUGUCUGCGACAAUUAUUUUGUAUUUUUAAUUGGAUUAGAGUAUUAGACUAUUAUUGCCAACCUACAUAAGAACUAUCGCUUUUUUUUUUUUGUCAACAGAACUAUCGCUGUUAUUUAGUUGAAUACGGGUAACUGUCGUUUUUAAUGAAAAAAUAAGAACUACCCCUCCCCCGUUAUUUCGAAAAUUCCCAGACAUCUAACCUAUACCAAAAGAGAGAUAUACUCCACUUUAAAGCUGUCCAUGUCGGAUAAAUAAAUUAGCCAAUGAGGAAGAAGUUAUUUAACACAUCAUUAUCAACUACGCUGGCCUUCUUCCCAUGGCCAAAAACGAGUCCACUUGAGUAACCUAAGUUACCUAAAGUCUGGCAAUUUCUAUUGAUUUCUCCGUACUUCGUCUUCUCCACUUCGACUUCUUGCAACCUCAAUUAUACCACGAUCCCAAUUCUUAUCAAUCAAUAGGUUUUACCGUUUCAAUCACUCAUUCAAUUCUUAUCUCUCUUCCAAGAUGGUGUAUCUCUAUCUAUAAAAAGGUGAGGAUUCAUCCCUUCAGAAUCAUCCUUUUGAACGCCUCUCUGUUUCUGCCAUUGUAGUAGGUGGAUCUUCAGCCAUUCCGUUUAGUUUGGUCUGUACGAUCGAGCUAGCAUCAACAAUCGGAGCCAUAACUACCCUCGAUUGUAUCACCGGAACCGUUCUCAUCCCCUCCUUGGAUCCACAAGUGUCCUCCGUCUUCCGUUGGAUCUGGCGAUUGCUCCAGGAAUGAAGCAAACGAAUGAGACGGUGAAAAGAAUAAGCUGAGGAAAAACUCAGGCUUUUGGAGAAGGAUAGAGAACAAACCGCGAUUGAAAGGAUUUCAGAUACGGGAAUUAAGAUGUGCACGAUAAUGGCGAAGACGGUGGGAUGUGAAAGUCGUAGGGGGUUUGUUGGAUAGAGAGUGUGUGAGGCCUGAUGUGAUAUUAGCUGAGGGAGAAGAAGACAGUGAUGAUGAGGAUGAUGAUACUGUGUUAUUGCAAUGGGAUAAGAACGAGGACGUUUGAUAUCAGCCGAAGUUAUCAGCAUUUUCUAUAAACGAUUUUGCUAUUGAAGCAGAAGGCCAAGAGCUGGAGCUGGAUCUCUCAAGCUUAGGAGCUGUGAAUACUGUCUUUGCAGCUUUGUUUAGCAAACUUGGUGUGCCGAUGAAAAUAUUUGUAUCUGCAACUAUUUUGGAGGAGGCUCUUAAUGGCAGAGUUUCUGUUGAUCCUCUUCUACUUGGACAAACUGUAACUAAAAAGGUUGAAAAGCAAUGUGCACACUUUUAUGCUGUCACAAUAACAGAAGUGGAAAUAAUUUCAGGAUUGGUCUGCAGAGUAGAAUCAUGUAGCAAAAGUAAAUUCAAGGUCAGCUCGCCAGAGUCUCUUCCCAUCGCCUAAGUAUUAACAACUAACGUGUGUGUGCGUCUGCUUGUGCAGUUACUGUACUUUGAUCAAAAAGCUAAUGGCGGAUUGAGCUUAGCCCUGCAGGUAUUGUUUUCUUUCAUAUAACAAUGGAAAACCAAUGUGGUAUUACAUGUAACAAUAAAUUCUGAAUCACUGGUGGAUAAAAAUUAUUGUUAUUUUAACACAAAAUUUUGACACAAAUUAUAAAAAUAAACUUAAUUUUAUUAACAAUUAAACCAAAUAUUUUAAACAAUUACAUCAUAUAUAUUUCAUAAAUAUGUUUUUAACCAUGAGUACAUUUUCAACCAAAACUAUUUGUCAAUUUUAAAAUCAUAAAUUAAAAUUUCAAGGAAUUUUCUAACGAUAGAAAAAAAAAACAAUGGUAAAGUAGAAGCUAACUUGAAUCCCUAAACGGAGCUAAGGAGGCUGAAAUAGAUGUUUGAGACAUGAAAGAAGAAUCAUGGAAAGAGACUAAGGGAAACGAAAAUGAUAUUGAUUAUUGAGCAAAGUGAAGAAACUUUUGGAGAGGGUGUAGCGUGAGUGGUGGAGGAGGUUAAGGAGCACCAGAUAUUGAUGGUCUGCUUCUUUUCUUGAGACGCACGUCUCUUUUUAACACGUUUGGUGUUAAUAAGGUUUUGGUUCUGGUUUACAAAUGAGUCAUAUUUCUCAUGUCCAUCCAAAUCUACCGGCAAAUUCUGUUAAUAUUUUAUAUUAAACAUGUAUUUUAAUAUCGAUUUGUCAAAGGUUCAAAAGUUAUGUGGACAAGCCAGUGUUGCGUACUGUUCUUUUUUUCAUUAUUUAGAGAAAAAGGUAAUGGAUCCUGAAAUCAGAAAACAUAACUUUAAGACUUUUCAAACAUCAUAUUUAGAAAUUCAAUUUCAUAUUGUUUUUUAGAAAAAAAACUUUAGAAUAUAAGCUUACAUAAAAUUAUAGAAUUAAACAUUUAUAACACUGCAUGCAAUGUUCUUAACAUAAAUUCUUUGACAUACAAAUAAAAUAAUAGACAAACAAAAUAAAUGAAUAUAUAAAUAUAGAUUUGUAAUAAAUAAAUAUCAACACAUCUUUUUUGAAUUGUUAUGAUUUGUCAUUUACCAAAAUUGCAAAACCUUCCAAAUUCUAUUUAAAAUAACUAUUUUCAAAAUUUGCUCAAAUAAAAUGAUAUGUGUUCGUAUAUUAUAUUUUUUACCUUUAACAUAUAGUCUCUUUGUUUAAUAUUAGAUGAUGUUUUACAUCGGUGAACAUAUAUUAAAAAAUCUACUAUUUUAGAAAGUAAUAUUAAAAUAUAAUUUAGAUAUAUUUCACCAAUUAAAAAUGUAAAUAUUAAAAUUAUAAUUAGUUACACCAUUUUUAGUAAUGUAAAGUUAUUUAGAUACAUGAAAACAUCGUCUGAUGUUAAAUAACAAAAACAUAUAUAAAACAUCAUGAUUAGUAAAUCACCUGAAACGAAAGGAACAGUAAAGUUGUGUCAAAAUAAUUUUUAACUCAACUGAAAAUGAUUUAUAGCCAUUGUGUUAGAAGUCUCUAUUAUGAGUGGCUGAUGAGAUAUAUUCCAAACCUUACGGUAUUCAAGAAAAAAGGAAAAUGAAGCAGUCAUAAGUACUUACAAAAGUCAACCCAAAACAAUCACACCUUUUUAAUUUAUAAAAUAGUUAAGUUGUAAAUAUUAUUUGUUCAUAACAAAACAUAUAUAAAGAAUGUGAUUGGUUAAUCAAUAGAGUAAAAAGGUGGAAAAGAAAAAUGAAAAUAGGAUGAAACAAAACAAUACCGUUGGCGUUAACUUUUCCACUUCAUCCAAGGUGAGAUAAAUUUUACUCUACUUUAUUUUUAUUUUUAGAGUAAACAUGAAGAAUGAGAGUAAACCAGCUGAAGCUGAAAAGAUUUUUCACCUUUUUCACUUUAUUCUAAUUAUACCAUACAGUCAGACUCAAAAUCUCAUAAUAAUAAGUUUAAAAUUUACAGAAAAUUAUUCAUACAUAAACAGCUAAUUUGGUUAGUUGUACAAAAAAAACUUUCUAAAUGCCUAAUAAUGAUUAAAUCUGCCUGUGUUUCAAAAAAAAAGAAGAUUAAAUCUACCUUCAUCUUUAAUAUUUCAACAUUAAUCUAAGAUAGCUAAUAGCACUACUAAUUUUUGUGAACAUUAUUUAUAACAAAACUAAAUUGAGGUUUCUGUUUAUGCGUCUAUGGAAAAACUUAAAACUGAAAAAUACAAAGGGAUAGUUAUAAAGAAUGAAUUGUUAGGAAAUAUUUACAUGCAUUAUAAUUUUAAAUAUAUUUUCCAAUAUAUUUUUUCAUUUUAUUAUACACCUAUUUCAUUUUAAAUCAUUAAGAGUAUAACUAUCUUACACUGUCAAGUAAUUAAAUUUUAUUUAGAAUUAGCAUGAACAAAACACUCUAAUAACAUGAUCAUGCUGGAUUCUCAACCCAAUUUUAAUUUUUAUGUUAAAAACAAACAACAAUUUCACUUUAAAAAAGAAAACAACAAUUUCAUCUAAAACAGUUUUUUUUGCAUUUCCACUAUCAUAUAGCUAUUUAUAUGGGACGAAGAAGUGAAAGUUUUAGAUAAUUAUAAAGCAUACAAAUUUAAAUACAAAAAUAUUAAAUUAUCAUGUAUGAUAUUUUAAUUUAUUGAAAAAAAGAUAUAUUGUUUGCUUUAAUACCAACAACACGAUUAUACUUCAACAGUUCCAAUUACAUUAUAGAGAAAUUGCUUAUAAUACCACAAAUUAGAUAUAAUUUUCCAAAAAUGCAUUUAAUCAAAACUAUCCUAACAUUUGAGUUUAAGAUUUAAUGAAAAAAUUUUGGGGUUUAUUAUUUAAAGGUUGUAAUUGGGUAAACGUCCAUAAAUAAUUCUUACAUAUUUAAAAAUGAUUAUGAGGGUUAGUUUAGGUUUCUAUUACAAAUUUAAGGUAUUUAUGGAAAAUUAUUCUUUAAAGAUAUUUUAAAAUAGUAUCAAUUAUAUGGUAAAAUUAGAAUUUCCCCUUAACAUUAUUAGAAGAACCAGGAAAAGUUUGCAAAAUUAAACUAAUGUACGAAACACAGAGCUCACCAUGUUAAAGAAAUCGCAAUUAAAAAAUACCCCAAGCUACUUUAUUAUUAUGUUAGAGAUACUAUAGUAUUUCUGAUCAAAUAUUAUAUAAAACUACUUUCAAAUAUAAUAUAAAUUAAAAUGGUGAAAAUUAUUGUAUCUGAGAAAAGAUCUAGUAUAUACAAAUGACUAAAUAAAGAGCACUUUCAGGCUAUGUUUUACUCUCUAUCCUUGUUAAUGACGUUUAUAAUAGUUAAGUUGCGCGGAUGUUUGUUUUCAGUUUUCUAUACAUAAAUUAUUGUUUUAGAACAUAAGUGGUAUAUAUUUUUAACGUUAAUCAUAUACUUAAAUAUUUAUAUAACUAUUUCA